rnacentral:lncRNA from 1 species
UUUCACCUUAGAGCACAUUUGUUUCGUGUUAUAUAACAUUACAUGUUAGGAUUAGAAUAAAUAUAUAGAAUUAUUAUGUUUGGCUCAUAUUAUAAAAUUCAGUAAUUGUGACAAUAAAACGUAAUCUAUUUCAAAAUUGCUCUUAGUUAUAUUUGGUAAAUUUUUUUAAUAUUUACAAAUAAUAUUUUUUAAUUAAAUUUUAUUUUAAAAUAAUUUAAAAUUUGAAUUCAAAUUUAAAAUCUAAAAUUUUUAAAAUUUAAAAUCUAAGCAAAAGUAUAAAACUUAAUAUUCUAAUUUAAAAUAUAAAUUAGAAAAAUUUUAAAUCUAAAUAUCAAAAUUUAGAAUUUAAAAUAUAGGUUUGAAAUUUAAAUNAUUUGAAAUUUAAAAUCUAAAAUUUAAAUUUAGAAUUUAAAAUAUAGAUUUGAAAUUUGAAAUUUCAAAAUUUUAAAUUUUAAAUUUAAAUUUUAAAUUUUAAAUUUAAAAAUUUUAAAUUUUAAAUUUUAUAUUCAAAAAUUUAAAUUAAUGUAUUAGAAGGAUUUGGGACAGUUGGAGGGAUAAACUUGUAAUUUUAUAAAACUUGCAUGAUAAUCCGUUUCGGUAAUACGGGAGGAUGCCCCGCCUUUCGCUCGAUAAUAUUUUCGGUGUAAUUCUAUACCAUUUGUAAUGCUAUACUACUGACAAGAAUAUAGACUGGAUGAAUUAUAUAAAUAUAGUAAUACCGAUAAAAUUACUUGUAAUUCUGACAGGAUAAUCCGAACCCAACACACCUUUAGAAGGUUCCGAAGACAUACACCUAAAAUAUG